rnacentral:rRNA from 1 species
AUUGAACGCUGGCGGCAGGCCUAACACAUGCAAGUCGAGCGGAUGAAAGGAGCUUGCUCCUGGAUUCAGCGGCGGACGGGUGAGUAAUGCCUAGGAAUCUGCCUGGUAGUGGGGGAUAACGUCCGGAAACGGGCGCUAAUACCGCAUACGUCCUGAGGGAGAAGGUGGGGGAUCUUCGGACCUCACGCUAUCAGAUGAGCCUAGGUCGGAUUAGCUAGUUGGUGGGGUAAAGGCCUACCAAGGCGACGAUCCGUAACUGGUCUGAGAGGAUGAUCAGUCACACUGGAACUGAGACACGGUCCAGACUCCUACGGGAGGCAGCAGUGGGGAAUAUUGGACAAUGGGCGAAAGCCUGAUCCAGCCAUGCCGCGUGUGUGAAGAAGGUCUUCGGAUUGUAAAGCACUUUAAGUUGGGAGGAAGGGCAGUAAGUUAAUACCUUGCUGUUUUGACGUUACCAACAGAAUAAGCACCGGCUAACUUCGUG